GAAAUCUUAUUCAUAUCCAUUCAUAUAACUGAUUAAUUAAAUCAUUCUUCUGAAUGUUGUUUCUCAUAUGGCAUAUUGUUGUGGUGGAAGUUGAAGUUUGUUACUCAUGUGCAGUGACGAUCUCAGGUAUAUUUAGGCGUAUAUAUCUGCAAUCUCCAAGAGAAGAGGACAUAGUUCUAUAGGUUUGGAGAACAUUGGCAUAUGAUCUGCAUCUUUGAUCUCCUCUUUGUUCAUCUAUUCUUUUGACAGUUUAUGGGCAUACAAUCUGCAUCUUUUGAUAAUUCGACGCUGGAAAUCUUCAGUGAAGAUCUCAGGUUUGUUUAGGCAUAUUUAUCCGCAAUCUGCAAGAGAAGAGCACAUAGUUCAAGGAGCUAGAAAAUUCGCGGUGCUGGGGAGUGAUAGUGACUGUGAUACCAUUGUAUUUUUGCAUCUGUCAAGAGUCGUCCUUGGUAGGUUCUUACAGCAUGAUUAACUGUGGUAUAUCUUAGAUAGUUCUUAGGUAUAAAGUUGAAUUUAAUUAAAUUGAAAAUCUUGUAUAAAACUACGAAACGUGUACACGUGGCACGUUAUUAGUGGGUGUUAGGUUUAAUA